rnacentral:rRNA from 1 species
UACGGAGGGGGCUAGCGUUGUUCGGAAUUACUGGGCGUAAAGCGCACGUAGGCGGCUUUGUAAGUUAGAGGUGAAAGCCCAGGGCUUAACUCUGGAAUUGCCUUUAAGACUGCAUCGCUAGAAUCGUGGAGAGGUGAGUGGAAUUCCGAGUGUAGAGGUGAAAUUCGUAGAUAUUCGGAAGAACACCAGUGGCGAAGGCGGCUCACUGGACACGUAUUGACGCUGAGGUGCGAAAGCGUGGGGAGCAAACAGG